rnacentral:rRNA from 1 species
UACGUAGGUGGCAAGCGUUGUCCGGAUUUACUGGGCGUAAAGAGCGCGCAGGCGGCCGAGUAAGUCGAAUGUGAAAGCCCCCGGCUCAACUGGGGAAGGUCAUUCGAUACUGUUCGGCUCGAAGAUAGGAGAGGGAAGCGGAAUUUCAGGUGUAGUGGUGAAAUGCGUAGAUAUGUGGAGGAACACCGAUGGCGAAGGCAGCCCCCUGGGUCAAGACUGACGCUCAUGCACGAAAGCGUGGGGAGCAAACAGG